GUGAAAGAUUGUUCUUGUAUUUAUCCUGGCAAUUUUAGACCACAGUCAAAACAUGAUAGGUACAAGAAUGAGGAGAAAUCUGUGAACAAGAUUCAAAAGAAGCAAGAGAUUAAUAGAAAACCAAGAAAAUUGGUGUCAAGAAGAAAACGAAGGUAAAAUAUCAUGAAAACUGUGUGUUGUAUGUUUUAAAUAUUGCAAAGAUAUCCAUAUUUAAAGUAUUCGGCACUUAGAUUAUCAGUUGCCCUGAAGAAGGUAUUAAUGUCCUGAUGGGUCAAGAAUCCAAAAUGCUUUUGCUUGAAGUGUGAAUGGGAAACUUGAGAAGAUAAAAGCUAAGACACCUUUUGAAGAACAAAAAGUAGUUGUGUAGCUAGAGAGCUAUUGAUCAAGACAAUGAGAUUGUAGACAGUUGAGCAUAUUGAUAUGCUGAGUGAAAGGACUCAAUAAAAUGCAUGAGGCUAAGGGUACCUGAGGAAAA
rnacentral:lncRNA from 1 species